GACGAACGCUGGCGGCGUGCUUAACACAUGCAAGUCGAGCGCUGAAGCUUCCUUCGGGGGGUGGAUGAGCGGCGAACGGGUGAGUAACACGUGGGUGACCUGCCCUCGGCUCUGGGAUAAGCCUGGGAAACUGGGUCUAAUACCGGAUAGGACUUUGCCUCGCAUGGGGUGGGGUGGAAAGCCAGUUACAUUGUUUCUGGCGGCUGGGGAUGGGCCCGCGGCCUAUCAGCUUGUUGGUGGGGUGAUGGCCUACCAAGGCGACGACGGGUAGCCGGCCUGAGAGGGCGACCGGCCACACUGGGACUGAGACACGGCCCAGACUCCUACGGGAGGCAGCAGUGGGGAAUCUUGCGCAAUGGGCGAAAGCCUGACGCAGCGACGCCGCGUGAGGGAUGACGGCCUUCGGGUUGUAAACCGUCUUUCUAGCUCCGACGAAGCGAAAGUGACGGUAGGAGCAGAAGAAGCACCGGCC
rnacentral:rRNA from 1 species